GAGGUCAUGGGUUCAGUCCCCAGGAGGGCUGCUUCAUUCAUUGUGGUCCCCCUCCAAGCCCCAGUCAGGUCUCCAAAUGGCCACUGGUCACAAAUGGCCUUUUGGGAAAGAAUCAACAAAAUUUUUUACCAUUUAUGGGAAAAACAACUCAAAGCAGAUGACUUGAGUUAAUUUGGAAUAUGACAACGAUCCUAUGGGGUAACAAAAUGGUACCCUAGAGGCUGUAAGGACUUCUUGCAGACUGUGCCAAGUGCCACACUUCCUGGGGGUGGCUUCCUUGCUGGGAAAAUUGAUUGACGUGUGUGGGAGGUUCCAAUCCUACCAGUUAAAGGGGAGUGCCAACUAAUAACAGUAGGAGGCUGAAUGCUUAUUCAAAAUGCAGACUCAGAGGGACACUUUAGUAGAAUUUUGGUGAAUUUUUGCUAGUCACUUAUCUAAAAUAGGAAUCAUUUUGGGCCUUCUGAUUAACAUCUGAAGUUAUGCAACCCCUGGGACCAUUUCUGCCACUGCCAGGCCACUCCAACCAUUUGUCUCAAACCGCCAGGAGACCCAGUAGCUGGGAGCACUCAGAGUGAGGGUGAUUCUCAUUCUCAUGUAUUCUCUUCAUUUUCCACUCCAAGCCCUCUCUCAGAAACCACUUUUUCAGGUCCAUUUCCAAUGCCAAGUCUCACUCAAGCAUGACUGGAUGCACUGAUAUCCUCUGAGGCCAUUUCUUGGAUUUAGGGAAGAGUAAUGCCUAAUGAACUCCACUGGCUUUCUCCCAGUUACUAAGAACCCCUUCUCCAGGGCAGACACCAGUUCUUUUUGUAAAAUUUUCUUAAAAUUUUGAUUACUAUAUCCCUUUCAUCUAGCAGAGUGCUUUGUGUAUAGUAGGAGUUAAAAAAAUAUUUGUUGAAUGAAUGAGUGAGUGGAUUAAAGAACCAAAUGUAGAACUGGUUCCAUUUAAACAAGGAUAAUUUUUUUAAUGUUAUAAUUUUCUUGUUUUUCUUUUUACAAACGCAUACAGGAUUAUUGAAAAUAAUUUAGAAAGUAGAGAAGAGCAAAAUUUAGAAAAUAAAAAUCACCUGUAACACCAUCUCUUAGAGAUAACCUUCCUUGCCAUUUUGGAGUGCAUGAUAUCGAUAUCCAUAUGUGUAUAUAUAUAUAUGUCACGUAUAUGGAACUCUUGACAGUAUGUAUCAUUGUAUAAUGUUUUUAUUCAUUAUAUCAAAAUACUUUACAUGAUAUUAUAUAUUCUUCCACAUUAUCAUUAAAACAUUUUUUAGAGCAUUUCAUUGCAUGACUGGACUUCAACUUAAUCAGUUGCAUAUUAAAAUAUACUUGUAGCUAAAAUGUUCUACAUAGCUUUGUUUAUUUCCUUGGGAUAAAUUUCUAUAAUUGCCUGGCUCCAUGGUUUUCUAAUUUAAUAUGUGUUGGCAAGGUAUUAAUCAAAGAGGUGCCACCAAUUUUCACUCCUAUUUGCAAAAAUCUAGUGUACCACCACUAUCCUCCUUUGCCGAACAGUGAGUAUUAUCAUUCUUUUAAAUAUUUGCUAAUUUCAUAGGCAAAAAGUAUAUCAGUGUUCUUAUACUUUGUAUUUCUUUCACUAACAGUGAAACUGAGUUUUUAAAAAGUCUGGUCAUUUUAAUGUCUUCUUUGCAAAUUGUCAGUUAAUGUCCUUUAAGACCUAUAUAUUUGGGAAGGCAAUAUACUUACCCCUUUCUGUUUCAUAGGGCUGUUGUAAGAAUUUGUUGAAGUAAUCUAUUUGAAUGUGUUUGAAAUCUACAAAGCAAUACACAAAUGUAUUGAUCAAAUGUGUGACCUGGUAGGGGAAGGGUCAGGAAGAAUGGUCUCUACUGACAAAUGAGCUGAGUACUGGGUGAAGGCUUGGGUAAGAUUUGUUUGAGGAGGGAUAAGGAGAGGCACCUGUACAGAAAAGGAAAGGAGCCUUUUGUCAAGAGAUUUGUGAAUUUGGGAAGGUCUCUGGAAAUAGACAAGGUCAGAAGCAAUGCAGGGGCUGGCAGCUGGAAAUGAGAGCCAAUUAGAAAGAGCAAGGAACAAGACAGGCCAGAGGAACUGCAGAAAAUAAAAGAGACUGAGUGGGAGUAGGAGACAUCUCAGAUAUCCCAAAACCACCAACGGAGAAAAGAAAAAACGGCAGUGCCACUUCUCUGAAGACUCACCAGUAGGCCAGUGUAACCAAGGCAGCAGGCAUGUUCAAGAACAAACAGGGAAACAGUGCACUGAAGACAGGUGUGGUCCCAUGGCCACAGGACAUCCGCGCUUUCCAAUGAGUCCCUGGAGGAACCACACCUGCAAAAGGCAUGCAAAAAUAGAUAAUUAAAUAAAGACAAAAUAUGGCACUAAAAUUCCCCCAGCAUGUAUAUGAUCCCACUUAUGUAAAAUGAUAUAUAAGGUAUGUGUAAUAUAUAUAAUAUAUAUGCUAUAUAUUAGAGAUGUAUUUUAUUAUUAUUUUUUAUUUUUUUGAAGUGGAGUCUCGCUCUGUCACCCAGGCUGGAGUGCAAGGGCAUGAUCUCGACUCACUGCAACCUCAGCCUCCCAGAUUCAAGCGAUUUUCCUCCUCAGCCUCCCGAGUAGCUGGGAUUACAGGCACGCGCCCACCACACCCGGCUAAUUUUUAUAUUUUUAGUAGAGACGGGGUUUCACCAUGUUGGCCAGGCUGGUCUCAAACUCCUGACUUCAGGUGAUCCGCCCGCCUUGGCCUCCCAAAGUGCUGGGAUUGCAGGCAUGAGCCACCGUGCCUGGCUUAUUCUUUAUAUAUUAUACAUGGAUAUAGGCACAUGCACACAUGCCCUUGGUAUUCUUGAGAUAGUGGUAAUGAAGUGGGAUAGGAAGAAAUAAUUAUAUUUGCUCUUAUUCACCUUUUUAAGUAUUGUUUUGCUUGUUACAGUAAGUACAUAUUACUUCUCUAAUUUGAAAAUAAAGAAAAAUUAAAGGAAUAUAAACUAUGCUGUGAGUGUUGCUUGCCAUCAUCCACUCUGCAGCACACGGGGGGGGAUUCAUGAGGUAAUGGGAGCUAAAUUUCUGGGCUGUCACUGGAGCCCAGGCUAACUCUGGCAGGGGAGUCCUAGGGGGACCAUCUGACAGUCACACCUGCGCCUCUCAGGGCACCAGGCUUAUCACCAUCUUACAUUUAGAUAAGGGGACACUUAGGUGACAAGGGGAAGCCGUACCUCCUUGGCAGGAAGGACCCUGACCAACAGGUGGGACAUUUCUGUGGGCUGGGAGCAAACACAGGACUUCCUGCCAGAUCAGGUGAGGGUGGCCACCUCGCAGGGAAGAGAAACAGAUUAAUUGCAAGGGAAAGAAUUUGAGCUUGGGACCAGGCGUAGUGGCUCACGCCUGUAAUCCCAGCACUUUGGGAGGCUGAGGCCGAUGGAUCACCUGAGGUCAGGAGUUUGAGACCAUCCUGGCCAACAUGGGGAAACCCUACCUCUACUAAAAAUAUAAAAAUCAGCUGGGCGUGGCGGUUUGUGCCUGUAAUCCCAGCUCCUUUGGAGGCUGAGGCAGGAGAAUCAUUUGAACCCAGGAGGCAGAAGUUGCAAUAAGCUAAGAUGGCGCCACUGCACUCCAGCCUGGGUGACAGAGUAAGACUCUGUUUGAAAAAAAAAAAAAAAAGAAUUUGAGCUUAGUAGACGAGAGAAAAACUUUUCUUCUCCUUCAGUUCAAGGGCUGCCAUUGCAGCAGGUGAAACAAAGCCCUGACUGCAGGGGGUUUGUGUUGCUUUAUAUUAGGUGAGCUGCUUUGAGGCAAAACCCUGUUUCCUGUGUACUUUAUGGGCCAGGCACUGUGCCGGGGCUUGAAGUGCAGAAACAAGGCUGAGGUGACCUCUGCUCUUCUGAAGGUCACAGUCAAGCUGGGGAGACAGAUGGUACAGGAGAUCCCAGACCAAGAGUGUCGCCACACGUGGCAAUGAUGACUCUGCAGGAAACCCACUAGGCAUGAGGGUGAAGAUCAGGGCUAGGACUGCUUUGGACCGGAGGUGCUCUCUGGCAGGUCUUUCUGAGCAGAGGACGUUUCAGGCAAGUCGAGGAUGAAGCAGAGUGGCUGACAGUGAAUAGUGGGAUGAAGGAGGCCCAGGAGGUGGGCCUGGCACGUGUCCUAUUCAUCUGCAGAGCCAUGAGCUGGGCUGCUGGGUCAGGGUGGGGUGUGAGAGGAUGGCUUCCUGUUCAGGAGUUUGACUUUCUCCCAAGUGCAAAGGCUAAGUAGUGUGCUCAGAAAUCCAGUGACGGAGCACCUCUGCCUCCACUCAGCACCUAAUACAAAUGGGCUGAAUAAGCAGAAAACAAAUACAGUAGAUGGCUGUUGCAUGCUCAGAAACAUUCCAUUUUAUUUUAUUUUUAAACUUUGGUUUCAAUUUCUAUUAUAUAAAAAGUCACUUCCAUUUAGAUUUGUUUUCGCUGCAAGACCAAGCUACAGUGGGGAGAAUGGGGUCUGGUGUUUAGCCACGUGCGUGCAGCUAGAGGGAAGCAGCUUGAGAUGCCCUCCCACUGCCUGGACCUCAUGAAGUGCUUUCACGAACGAAUCCGUCCCCUUUGUCAUCACCAGACAUACUUGGCUGAGCAGGUAUUCAUAUUGUCUCCACUUCGAAAACAAGGAUGUGGAGCCUGGGAGAAUGGAAAAGACUUGGCAAGGUCUCUGGAACAUGUGCCUGUGUUCUGGUGAGCUUUCUGUGAGCCCGAGGCAAAUGGUGGCCACAUUCAGAAUUGCUUGGGCUUCUACCAGUGGCCUCAGAGGCCGUUGCUGGAGGAGUCUGUGGUGAGCGGGAAGGAGCUUAGGGGUGGCCCUGACAGACCAUCCCCACUCCUCUUAUCACUUCCACACAGUCAAGCCCUUGGUUGGUGUCUGCUCAUCAGGUGAACGGGAGACUCCACCUCCCUAAUCCCACUCUGUGCCCACUGGGUGUCCACAUCCUAAACUUCAUUAGGACUCUGAAGUCCUGAGGUUGGGGCAGGGACCAAAAAGAUCAAUGGAAGUUCUGGCUCUCUCCCCCGUCCCUACACUUAAAUAUUUGUGGUUGUAAUGAUUCUGGAUAUGCUACCUGUCUACCAAUGAGCAUCUUGGUCCUCUGCCAUCCCGAAGCCCUGGCCCAGCCUCCUCCUUGGACUUGUUUCCAAGGGAGUCUACUGUGAUCACUAGGGUCACCCCUUAUCAUGUGAGACUCAUUUAGGUGUGUCAGCAUUUGGGGACACGUGUGACAUUCAGAAUAGCUAGUGUAGAUCUUCAACCAGCUUCCAUUCUAUGUUUCCUGACAGGAUUCCAUUGGUAAUUCUUUGGAGCAAAACGAUGCUUUUGCAACUUAAUCAUCGGCAUUUGGAAUACAGUAUCUCUUGUCUGAGCUUGAAUGGAAAGAACCCACAGUCUGUGAGUUCUAGCCAUUUAGAAAAAUGGCAGUUGCUGUAAGACGUGAACUUGGCAUUUGAAAUCAGCAGACAACAAAGAGUGUGAUAUAAAGAGACAAACAUGGGAUUUGGAGUUGGGGAGGGCUGGGUUCCACAUGCUUUUCACUUGCUGUCAUGGGACUUUGGAGUGGACAGUUUUCAUGAUCUCACUAAAGCCCAUUUUUAUCACCUUUUAAUUGGGGGAUAAUACCAUCUACCUCAUAAUAUAUUGGUGAGGAUUAAAAGAGAGGAAUUAAAAUACCUGGCACAUAAGAAACACUCAAGAAAUAUUAGUUUCUCUGCCCCUUUACUGUUAAUAAUUCAAUUAAUCACUCCAAAAAUAGAACAUUCUUCAGAAUAGACUUCUACCCAUUUGUUGUUGAUGGGACAUCCAAAGGGAUGUGCAAUUAUUUUGUUUGGUUUAUAGUAAGUUGACUUUGCACUUUAAAAGGGGAUAAAGGAAACCUCUGGUACCUCAAACAAUGACCCUUUUAAAGUCUGCACUGGACACCAUUCUCAAAGAAUAUUCUUAUCAACAUACUUUCUUAUAAAUGGAGCUCUACUGUCAUCAAAUAUGUAUAUGUUAGUAGCCUGCAGAGUCAGAGCAGCGCUUGGCAAGCCUGAGGAUGUUUCCCACGUGUGCUGUGGGAUGGCAUAGGCAGGUGACAUCCUUUAAUUUUGUGACAUGGUUUUGCGGGGGGCUCCAAUGUGAGGUACUCUUGGCAUGGUUUCUUCCAGCUCUGGGCCUGUUCUGGGGCCUGUCAGGACUCCCACAUUUCCCAUCUUUGCAGGCAACUCCCUUUGAAGUCCAUGGGAACUCUUUGAAUGGAAAACAUACACAACGGGGUGUUGAUGCCAAUAAGAAUCAGGCCUGAUGUAUUCGAGGAAUAAAGGGGCUUCUCACCCCAAAUAUUAGCUCUUUAGCCCAGAAACUAUGGUUUGAUCAUUAAAUAAAAGAGCACUCCCCUCCCCUAAAAAAACUCACAAUCCACCACCAAAGCUCCACCACCACCAUCCAUUUGCUCUGGAGAUGAUAAACCUGCUAAUUGCUGGAGAGUUUUAAUUAAGCAACAGAUAUAGACAGUGUAGGGCUGUGUUUUCACUUUAAACAUAUCAAUAGAAUAAACAUUCUCAAUUCCAGGGCAACUUGCUAAAUGAAAAAAAAAGUAAACAUUACUUUCUUUUGAAAUAUCACUCAUCGGGUGUGAUAAUUUAGAAAAAUAUCUCUAUUAGAGAUAGUUAGAGACCUUUUUUCUUUUUUUCUUUUUUUUUGGUUGAAAAUGCAAUCGCCGAUGGAGCGCAGAGCUGCAAUUUGUAGACAGGUUAAGUAAAUUAAAUCACUCACUGUCUUUUUUUUUUUUUUUUUCCAAUGGCUUUAAAAGUUAAAGGUAAUUUGCAAAGAAAAUGCUCAGUUUGAAUUGGUUUGUAAUAUCUGUUAAUGAUCUUUAAAAAAAUCCACUUAUUCACAAUUCUGUGCCUGGGGGAAUUCCAAUGUGCUAUCAGAAAAAAUUUCUAAAGUCUGAAAUGUCAUUAGCUAGUGAUUUCUUUGAAGUAAAAAGCCCCGAAAAAAAUAAAUUAUAUAAGGUAUACAAGUGCACAGGACAAUCACUUUGAUGAAUAAUAUCUCUUUUUUUCAUAAUGUUUCAUACCUAAAAAUGCAACAAUUGAAAUUCAAGCUGGUAAAUUAUAGAGCCAUCUUUUGAAUUACCUCAAUGUAGGCAUGCCUUCUGUUUAUUUCUCACAUAUAUUGAGUUCUUCCAUAUAUUUAUAGAUUGUUGAUAUAAAAACAGUAGUGUUGGGAACAAUUUUGAUUAUAUUCAUUGUGUUUACUUUUUGGAAACACAAGGUGUUGCCUAAAUACAGGCAUACAGGUGUUGCCAUCCGGGGAUUAAAACAAUAGCCUAUUUCAAUAUUCCAGCCUGGAUCCCAGAGCCAGGUGCCGUGAAUGGAGGUGCAAAUGCUACUCAGCCUGGGAGAGUUGUUCAAUAUUAGAUAACAGAGCCAUGAAAUACUACACCAAAGGGAAAAUUUUCUUCCUGACCCCAGCUGGUGAUCAGUUUUUGCCUGGAAGCAGGGGAGUCUUUGUAAUACAAUACUUGUCAAUGUUGCUGGUUUGGCUGCUAUAAAUAGCUAUUUUUUUUGGAGGAUGGGAGGAGUUGGAUUUUACUAAACCAUUGGCUACAGGUUAAUUAUACAUUUCAUAAAAAAGCAUUUCUUGUAGCCAGUCUAAAUUUGUUAUGUUUUAAUCCCAUUUUAUAUAAGGCUAGAAAUAUAUGAGCCUCCAGCAGGCCCGUUAUUAUUGUCAUUAUUUUAUACACUGGACCUUCAGCUUUCUCUCUCUUUUUUUCUUUUUCCUCUGUAUGCAUUACUCACCUCUUAGCUAAAUUGCUGAGGGUCCCAGUUUCAUUCAUUCUCCCUCACAGGCAAGGCAUUCUCUUCCUCUUCCUCCAGCUGCCUGAAAAUCAUAUGCGUGGUUUUUCCUGUUUCCUGCUCUGUAGCUGACAUCAGGGGAGAAAACUGAACACAGGAAAAUGGAAAUCAACAUUUGAAACUUUUAAAUGGAAGCUUUAUUGGGGUUCCAUAUAUGGAAAACUGCAAAUAGCAGAAGUAUGUGACUCAAUAAAUUAUUCUGGAGUGACCACAUCCUCUAACUGCCUCCCAGGACAAGAAGGAGAAUGUGAACAAUGCUCCUGAAGGCCCCUUUCCCUCAAAGAAUCACUGCAAUUGAAGGAAAAAUGCUCCAUGUCCCCUCCGCCAGUUGGUAUUUAUUAAAGGACAACGGAGGAAGAGAGACAAAGUGCCUGGAUGUGUGUGUUAAUCAAGAGUUGUCACGACCCUGCCUCUAAAAGAAAGCGCUAAAAUGAUGCUUUUGACAAGACUUUUCUCAAAGUGGAUGCAGUCUAACGGUUGGAAAACAAGGCCCAAUCAGGCUAGGUCUGACUUGUCACCUGCUUUUGUAAAUAAAGUUUUAUUGGCUCACAGACACA